UGUUCAUGUUGUUGGAGGCAAAUGGAAUAAAGCUAACUUGAAACUCUAAAAUGUUUUUAGAGGGAUAUCAGAUGAAAGAAUGUGCAUAUCUAGUUAUUAGAAGUAUGCCUUCAACACAUAUGUAUGAAUUGAUGUAGUCAGAGAAAUCAGAUGGCUUCAGUGACUAUGCUAUGUACAGGAUGAUGUGAGAUCACAGACAGAAAUCCCAUCAAACAUAAAUUACAGAAUAUUUCAACUAAAUUAAAUGGCUGGAAUGAAGUUCCUGACCCAGGUGAUGGUUUUGGAAAAGCAAAGAGACAUUCUGAUGCCACCUUAUAUUGAGCCUACAAUACUCCAAAAAUGAUUUUGUUGUAUUCAUAACUUUCCACCA